rnacentral:lncRNA from 1 species
AUCGGUCCAGAUGUUGCCAUGUGUCAUCAUCUGGUAAAUCUUUGAUUCGAUCACCUUCAUCUUGGCCGUUGAGGGAUCCUAUAUAUAUAGGUCACUCUCAACCAAACUUCUACUUUUCAUUUUGUCUUUCUUGGUGCUAAAACUCUGCCGGACGAUCGCCCCAGCGUCUGAGGUUGUUAUUCCUAACUUUUUCAGGUCAAGUUUCUAUCUUUCCUUGAGUCCC